GGGAAACUGCUGGAAAUGGUUGCAGUAAUCUGUGAGCAAGCUUGCCGACUUGCCGAGCGUCUGCCUGCCAUCGGCCAGCUGUGCUGAGUCCUUCCAACCACAACAGAUUCAACCACGCAUGGUUUGAUUAUUCGUGGUUAUCGUGGAUAGUACACCUCAUCCCACAGUGCAUGUCCAAGCCAUCGGAGAUGUACUGGUACAUACGGAAGCUAGCAUGCCUUUCGCAGGGUCAACUUUUGAAGCAGUAAGAUACUUGGACUUCGGGGAUUGUUAGUUCCUGAUGCCGCUCAAGCUUCAAUAUGUCUCUAGAGAAGAUAAUCUUGCUGCAUUUUCUUCAAUCAUUUCCUGGCUAUACCAUA
rnacentral:lncRNA from 1 species